rnacentral:tRNA from 1 species
GAAAUAUCCAAUAAAGCCGCUAACUUUAAAUAUUACUAUAUAUAAGUAAAUAUUUCU